rnacentral:lncRNA from 1 species
CGCCUCGCGAACUCGGACUCAAGCAAGUCCAGCUCCGGCCACCUGAUCUCUCUGACCUGGGGUCUCGACUUUAGGGCGGGGCCUCUUCCUCGCCUCCUGCCUGGACAUCUGCUCCGACCCAAGGUCCUCGCCAGUUCUAGAGGAAAUCCCUAAGGCCUGAGUUGGUCGGGGUGGCUGCCCCCAGGGCUUGCCCCGGAGGCCAAGCGGCGACCAAGUAUCAUCCAAUCUUCCCUAGCAUCCCAAGAUCUGGAAAGGUAGACCGAUCAAGAGAUCUGGAAAGG